CUCUCUCUCUCUCUCUCUCUCUCUCUCUCUCUCUCUCUCUCUCUCUCUCUCUCUCUCUCUCUCUCUCUCUCACUCUCUCUUUCCCCCUGUGCUCUCUCACUCUCUCUUUCCCACCGUGCUCUCUCUCUCUCUCUCUCUCCCCCUGUGCUCUCUCACCUCUCUCUACCGCUCUCUUCCCUCUGUGCUCCCCCUCCUCCCUCUCUCCCUUUCUGUCUAUCUUUCCCUCUGCCUCUCCAUGCCUGUUUCUCUUCCUGAUCUCUAAAGAUCCUGUAACAAUGUAGUCCUGGCAGAAUGAGCAGACAGUGAUGAUGAGAUUGACUGGCAGGCUACUAUGGUCAGGUGUGGAGCGAGCAGACUCAGGGAAUUCUAGGUAACUCCACAGAACAUAUAGAUACAUUACUAUGUAGAUACAUUACUAUAUAGAUACAUUACUAUAUAGAUACAUUACUGUAUAGACACUGUACAUUACUGUGUAGGUACAUUACUGUAUAGAUACUGUACAUUACUGUAUAGAUACAUUACUGAAUAGGUACAUUACAGUAUAGAUACAUUACUGUAUAGGUACAUUACUGUAUAGAUACUGUACAUUACUGUAUAGAUACAUUACUGUAUAGACACUGUACAUUACUGUAUAGAUAAAUUACUGUAUAGACACUGUACAUUAUUGUAUAGAUACAUUACUGUAUAGAUACAUUACUGUAUAGAUACUGUACAUUACUGAAUAGGUACAUUACUGUAUAGAUACAUUACUGUAUAGAUACUGUACAUUACUGUAUAGAUACAUUACUGUAUAGAUACAUUACUGAAUAGGUACAUUACAGUAUAGAUACAUUACUGUAUAGGUACAUUACCGUAUAGAUACUGUACAUUACUGUAUAGAUACAUUACUGUAUAGAUACAUUACUGAAUAGGUACAUUACAGUAUAGAUACAUUACUGUAUAGGUACAUUACUGUAUAGAUACUGUACAUUACUGUAUAGAUACUGUACAUUACUGUAUAGAUACAUUACUGUAUAGGGGGGUCUGGCACAUUUGUAUAAAUGUGUGCAGUUUGUGUGUGUGUGUGUGUGUGUGUGUGUGUGUGUGUGUGUGCGUGUGUGGGUGUGUGCAUGUGUCUGCAGGUGCCCUUGAUGGCUGAGUGAACCCCAUUCACCUGAGACCCCCUGCCGUUAGCCCCUCUCCCCAAUCCAGAAGCCCCCUACCACCCACCCCGUACCUUCAGAUCAAUACCAAUUUAUAGGCAAAUGCAGAAAGGCUGACUUGCAGGUUUAAUGAAUGGAAGCAUUGUUAAGGUCAGUCUUCUGAUGAAGGUUCUGAGAGGGGUGUUCAGUAAACAUGUUGGCGGGGGAGCCUGUGUGUGUGUGUGUGUGUGUGUGUGUGUGUGUGUGUGUGUGUGUGUGUGUGUGUGUGUGUGCGCGUGCACCCGCGCGUGCACAUGUGUGUGUGCCCGUGUGUGUGUGUGUGUGUGUGUGCGCGUGCACCCGCGCGUGCACAUGUGUGUGUGCCCGUGUGUGUGUGUGUGUGUGUGUGUGUGUGUGUGUAUAUUUGUGUUGUCAGAUGGUGAACAGCCAUUGCUCUGCCUGGUUUUUCCCUACAGACCACUGUUUGGUAACUCCCUGAUUCAGUGACGGACAUGACAAGACAAAUGGACAGACAGAGAGAGAGAGAGACAUGAGAAGACAAGGGAGAGAGAGAGAGAGAGAGAGAGAGAGAGAGA
rnacentral:lncRNA from 1 species